rnacentral:rRNA from 1 species
GACGGAGGAUGCAAGUGUUAUCCGGAAUCACUGGGCGUAAAGCGUCUGUAGGUGGUCAAAUAAGUCAACUGUUAAAUCUUGAGGCUUAACCUCAAAAUCGCAGUCGAAACUAUUAGACUAGAGUAUAGUAGGGGUAAAGGGAAUUUCCAGUGGAGCGGUGAAAUGCGUAGAGAUCAGGAAGAACAUCGGUGGCGAAGGCGCUCUGCUGGACCAUAACUGACACUCAGGGACGAAAGCUAGGGGAGCGAAUGGG